rnacentral:rRNA from 1 species
AGCAGCCGCGGUAAUUCCAGCUCCAAUAGCGUAUAUUAAAGUUGUUGCAGUUAAAAAGCUCGUAGUUGAAUUUCGGGGUUAGUAGGUUGGUCAUGCCUCUGGUAUGUACUGGUCUCACUGAUUCCUCUUUCCUGAUGAACCGUAAUGCCAUUAAUUUGGUGUUGCGGGGAAUUUGGACUGUUACUUUAGAAAAAUUGAGUGUUUAAAGCAAGCUAACGCUUGAAUACAUUAGCAUGGAAUAAUGAAAUAGGACGUUCGAUCCUAUUUUGUGGUUUCUAGGAUCAACGUAAUGAUUAAUAGGGAUAGUUGGGGCAUUAGUAUUCAAUUGUCAGAGGUGAAAUUCUUGGAUUUAUGAAGACUAACUACUG